UACAGAGGUCUCAAGCGUUGUUCGGAUUCAUUGGGCGUAAAGGGUGCGUAGGCGGCGCGGUAAGUCGGGUGUGAAAUCUCGGAGCUUAACUCCGAAACUGCAUUCGAUACUGCCGUGCUUGAGGACUGGAGAGGAGACUGGAAUUUACGGUGUAGCGGUGAAAUGCGUAGAUAUCGUAAGGAACACCUGUGGCGAAAGCGGCUCACUGGACCAUUACCGACGCUGAUGCACGAAAGCUAGGGGAGCAAACAGG
rnacentral:rRNA from 1 species